ACAUCUGAAUGAUUAAUGAAUAAUUAUGAUGAAAAUAAUAUAAAAUAUUAAUUUGAUUGUGUGAUUUGGAAGUGACCUGGCUGAGGGAUCGACGACAUAGAGUUCAGAAGAGGAUGCAAGACAAUGUUAUCUGGAGAGGAUGCAAGAUAUUUAGGCAAAAAUGUUUCAAGAUUUGGUUAGUCCUCGACACCUGCUUGUUCUAGCUAGCUUAGUAUAUAUUGUUGUUGCUGGUUGUGUUUUAAAAGUAUAGACAUCAUCAGAUGCUAGGAUGUUGAAAUAUUUAAAUGUUUUGCAGUCAUACAUGGAUUGUAAAAUCAUUACUAUAAUGUCCCAGUAUAUGCUAUUGGACAAUCAAACUGAGUUUCACCAACUGCCAUAACAGAAUUUUAUUAUAAGACGUGGUCUUUUCCCUCCUGACGAGAAAUUUUGUGCACACCUAGAUGUCACCUCCCUUGACAACUGAUCAAAGUGCAACAAUUUUAAUGGUGUGCGAGAGCGAUCAGGAGGGAUUUGUUGCAAUUUAGUUGUGGUAUUUCCAUGCUCACAUUUCAAUCCAAGAAAAUUUAAGAAAAUUAGCAUCUGAGGAUUCCAACCUUCACACUGUUAUUGGUGUGCAGAUCUGGUAAAUGCAUUAGAGUAAUAUCUAUAUGUAUCUCUUUAUAUAUGGCUCAUUCAUUUGAUACAGAUGAAGAUGGCUCUACAAUUGUUAGAACAAUUUGUUCUUACUAUUCCAAUUCUGCUCAAGAGGACAUUAUGCUAUAAGAUCAUGAAAAAAUUAUUCUCCAUGGCCUACGAAUCUACUUUGCUCUGUCUACUGUGGGUGGUUGUUUGAAAAAGCCUUUGCAAAUCAUAACAACUAUUGUAAAAUUUUGGGAUCUGUAGGUUGUAUCUUUUUUAACCCUUGUUUCCUUAAUUGACUUUUGGUUUGGCUAAGGUGUAGCUUCUUUUGUUCAACCCGUUGUAGCUGUUUUAUUUGUCUUCUAAAAUCUACCAAUAUUGUCAAGAUUAAAAUGACUAAUUCGAUUCAAGGCCAAGGCCAGCUCU